UGUUAAUGUUUUUAUCAUCAAAUUAACUAGUGCUCAGUUGCACAUAUCUUGAACCGCAGAACGCUGUUUCUAUUAAUUUCACAGUAUUUUAGUGUUGUAAUUUUGUCCUUACUGUACGCUGUUGCUCCAGAUUCUUUUCUUUAAAUGUUAUGUUUUUAGCUUUGUGUGGAUAAGUCAAAUUACACUUGAAUCUCCUCACAUAGCUUCAUAUAUAGUGGAGGACUGCCUAAAUUUUGCUGACUAACACAGAUCUACCUUGUGAUUCACAAAGUUUUUUUUCUCUACUGAUUAUGCUUCCUGGUGUAGAUGUGUAAAUGUAGAGCAUCUGCGUUCCUAUGAGCUGUCAGCCACAUUGGGAAGCCUGUCUAUGAAUCUAAAGUCAGACUUCAAUGAUCCAACCCCACUCUCUGCACACAAGAUUGAUGGCAUGCUGCUGUUGACCCCCAAGAGGUUCAUACAAGUGAGACAGAAUGAUGGCGGCUGAAGCCCCACGAAACAUGAUCCUACGUGCUGUCGAAUCUGACCGUGUAAUUAAAUUAAAACUUGACUCCCGUCCGGCCUCUUUUGAUGAACUGAUUAAGAUUUUAAAAGAAAAACUGGAACUUGACUGUGAUUUCAAUUUGAAAUACGAAGAUCCAGACUUUGAUGGAAGGCUCACUUGCCUUGUUGACAUAGAGGAGUUACCACAAAAAUCCUGUGUUCAUAUUUCCCUUACACAGGAUUCCCGUUCUGUUGCAUCAACUGAUACCUUUUCAGAUGUGUCAUCCCCAGAGCGUCUAAGCAGAUGGCCCCCAGGUCCUUUUCAGAUUCCCAAAUUUCCAUUUGACAUUGAGCUGACACUUAGAGAUGGGAAUACUGAAUUUGAAAAGAAUGAAAGACUUCAGUUGUCAAGAGACCAAAAACAUGGUAUUUUAGAGAAUCUGGCAUCUACCAUAUAUACAGUAGGUUCAAGGCUUACCCUAGUGACAAAGAAAUAGCAAUGGUCUUGUGAGCAAACAUCAUGUUUAAAAGAAGCAGGAUCUGACAGUGGUUGGAAUGGAUGGAAAAACAGCAUCAAGUUCAAAAAGGAAAAUUACAGGACUAAGAAGAGAAGAGCUGGAUGUCAGGAGGUCUCCGUAAAUGCUGGGAAAAGAAGCCAAAGAAACCCAGAGAAUGAACCUUCCCAUUCAAACAUCCAAGCGUGCAGAACUUCCUGCCUAACUUUCCUCAAGGAGAAGACCCCUCUAGUCUGGGCUGUAUGAGGCAGGCUGUUGUUGAGGAAGUAAAGAAGACUGAGAGAAACAUAUGUGUUAUUAGCCGGAUGAUGCAGACAACAUUUGCCUUGAGACGACAGACGAGUCAUGUCCUGCCCUCCUGUGAAAGAGCUGAUGGACCUCUGGCCUGCUCUUCAUAUGCCAGCUGAGGUGUAUGCAGAGUUUCAACGAAUCACAAACCAGAACCGUCCUAACACCUUUUAUGCGCAGCUAGAUCACCACACUCCUCAUUUGAUGGCCUUAUUCAUACAGAAAGCUUCCAAAACUGGAAAGACUGCAAAUGCUUUGGCUGACAUUGUCAAAGCCCAUGAUGCACAGGUGAAUAUACAAUUUACAGGUAAUGUCUUUAUGCUAUGAGUAUUGGAGCCACUGAAGAAAAAAAAAUAGAAUUCUGAG